rnacentral:lncRNA from 1 species
AAAUGGAGACAAACUGGUUGGCAAUCUUCUUAAGGUCAUAUAGAGGCCAAGUCAGGAUUUGAAGCCAGAUGGAACCUGUUCUCCCUAACCAGUAAGCUCUGGAAGAGAGUAAUAGGUCUGGGGAUCAUCAGGGUGGACUUCUCAGGUGAGGUGGCUUCAGCUUGGCGUGGAAGGAUCUUGAAGGUGUGCUGAGUCAUGCUUCAUUCCUAAACAACCAUAGGGAUGCAGGAACACCUGUGGUAUGUCAGGAUAAGAAGGGAAGCUGAAUGAAUGGAUGAAACUGGGGAAGCAUGUGCAAGAAGGUGAGGAGAGUGAGGCAGGACAGGGAGGCGGGACCUCAGGGAAGAGGCUGGCAGGUGCAGUAGAGGCUUGUGGGUACAAUAGAGGUUUGUAGGUACAGUGGGUGAGAUUGGAGGAAAGCACAUUGUUUUGAACUUCUGGAGAAUUAACAGGCUGUGAGUUGGGUGAAGCAAUUGAUUGACUAAAGUCAGCUAAAAAACGGUCCACCACAGACUCUCUGAGGCCAAACCUCAGCGGCUGGAGGAUUCAGUCCUUAUGCUGUGCAGACAGCUCCUCCUGAGGACUCACAUCGGACACAGCAUGCAGGCAAUCAGCCGGAAGCAAUCUAGAGCAGAGGCCAAUGGAUGCAAGCUUGUCCCACCCACCCCUAACAAGACCAGAUUGCAUCAUCAGAAGAGAAUUCCAAAAAUAUUUCAUAUUUUCAAAGGUGAUAUUGGUUCAUUCCACAGAACCAGGAAAUUAUCAAAAAGAUUGAGCAGAAGAGAGCAGAGAUCUUGGAUCGUUUUGAAAGAAUAUCACCUUUUUAAAAAAGAAUAUCAACGUAGUUAUUGCGGCCACUCCAUGGACGCGGGAUGGGCCCCCAUCCAAUAUGUGGUUCCCACAUCAAGACUGAUGACGUCACUCAAUCACCCAAAGUGCAUGAAAAGAUUUGUUACCAGCCUCCCAAGUUGGUCCCUGACGACUCGGGAGAGCAGGAGAGGAGACUUUCGUGGGGUCUUUCUGGCCCUUAGGAGCUGGCUGGGUGAGGACUCCUGCGUGCUUUGAACCUUCCCAAUGGUGCCGAAGAAAGGAGCGUGUGGGCACUCCUACCCAUGUGCCCAGAUGGGGCAGAAGGGAACAGGGAGGAGGAGACUUGAAAGACAUCUGCAGCCAGUUGUCAGAAAUAGAGUCAGGUUUUUUAUUACAGAAACUAUCAUAGGAAAAAUCAGAAUUCGUGGGGAAGAAUGUACACUGUCAUCUUUGUACUGUUGCUAAUGAUCUGUUUCAUGGUGGGUGGGGAUCACUUCCUUCUCAGCAUUUAAGGCCUCAGCGUUGUGACUGGCCUGGGCUCCAACUUACCUUUCUCCCCUUAUUUUCCACUCUUGUCUUUGGAAGCAGCCCUGAGCCACGAGAACCAUGGUCAGCUCUCUGCCGUGACCUCCGCUCCUGCCCAGCUCUGGUCCUGGAAGCCUUUCCCACCUAUUUGCUGUGUAUGAGUCUUAUCCGUCUUCAAGUCCAGUUCCAACGCGUGAAACUUUUUCUGGUUCCACCUCUUGGAAGAGAUUCUUGCUUCUUCUCAAGCCCCUGAGCAUAUUUUGUUUCCUCUUAGACCACUUGUUCUCUAGCCAUGUCUGCAAGGGCCUGGAGACCAGAAUCCAAGAGACCCACUGAUUUUUCUGUCUUCCACACUGUCUUCCUCAGAGGUGUCUGUGCCAGGAGGUUGAGAACCUCAUUUCACACACUGUUAUUCCCUUAACACUUGGAGCAGUGCCUGGCACAGAACUGGUGCUCACUGUAUACCAUUCUGUAAAUAAAUAAUAGAUGAAUAUGUGUUGAAUAAAUGAAAGCUAAAUUCAUAGAGGCUGUCUGAUUCAAACUUGUAUUAUAUCCUUAAAUUGCUUCUUAGGCAUUGCUUAAAUAAAAGGGAAAUGCACGUUUU